rnacentral:lncRNA from 1 species
UAUACCUGCGCGGGUUCAGCCCAUCACUUCUGUCUUUCUGGCCUCCAAGGAAGGGCUACCCCGUUCUGCUUCCAAGGAAGCAUAAGAUGCUCAGAAGACAGAGUAUAGCCUAAGAGGGCUAAGGUACUCCAUUCACUUCACAAAACCAAACCUCAAAAGUAAAGAAAUCAAGGCUCCAUUAGAGAUCUUAAAGUCAGGGAAGCUCUC